UGAGUAACCUGCCCUUCACUCUGGGAUAACUCCGGGAAACCGGGGCUAAUACUGGAUAUGACUCGAACAGGCAUCUGUUUCGGGUGGAAAGAUUUAUUGGUGGAGGAUGGACUCGCGGCCUAUCAGCUUGUUGGUGAGGUAAUGGCUCACCAAGGCGACGACGGGUAGCCGGCCUGAGAGGGCGAUCGGCCACACUGGGACUGAGACACGGCCCAGACUCCUACGGGAGCG
rnacentral:rRNA from 1 species